AAUGUUAAACACUAUUGUACACAUUGUGACUUGUUAAACAAAUGUUUACUACUGAACUUAUUUCGGCUUGCCAUAACAAAGGAGUUGAAUACUUAUUGACUCAAGACAUUUCAGCUUUUUUUAAAUAAUAAUAAUAAUUUCAAAAACACCAUUCCACUAGGAACAGUGGGUUAACUGCCUGACAUUAUACAAAAUCUCAAUUAGAUCCAUUUAAAAUUCAGACUGUAAUAUAACAAUGUGGGAAAAGGCAAGGGGUGUGAAUACUGAAGGCACUAUAUAUUAUAUAAACAUCCUCCACUCCUGUCAAGGCAGUGAAUAUAAUAUGUGGAUUGGUUUGAUGCUUGCUAAUUGGUGACGUUAAUGCUCAGUAGUAUUAUCGCAGUGUGUUGUCUCUCUCUCUUCUCUGGUCAGUGUUCUCCGUGGCCUGAUGCCUACAUCAGCUCUCCCCAGACAGCUGGCCCCUCUUUCUCCUCUACACCGCUCUCCACAUACACUGCCUCCUCUGUACCUGACAGUGGCCCCUCGUCGCCCAAUCACCAGACAGACCCUGUCAGCCAAGUCGUCACAGAGCAGCUCAGUCCUACGGCUACCAUCAAGGAGGCUCAGAAGUGGCUUGUCAAGAACCGCUUCAACACAUAUGCACGACUCUUCUCCCACUUCUCAGGUACACACACACUCUUCGU